AUUCUGUAAUGAGGGCACUUUCGUAAUAACUCUUUAUACCUUUCCCAUGCCUCAUACAAGGACUCAUCAUCCAUUUGUUGGAAGGCAGUGAUCUCGUUCCUCAACUU
rnacentral:snoRNA from 1 species